UUUUUAAAUGUUUAUUCAAUAUAUAUUCAGUUUGUAGCAUUCUAAUUUUAAAAAGAAUAUUUUUACUAUGAAUUUGUAGUCACACCAAAGAAGUGGUGUCCAAGGAAGUAUUGCACCUAUGACAAAUGCAAAAUGUCAACUAUUACAUUGAUACUUGUUUGAGGAGGAGAAGUUGUAGUAGAAGUGAAGAUUGCAACAACAGACCCAAGUGUAAAGGUGCAUUACUUGCCACUUAGUCGAGACUGUUGGAAAGUUUGGGUUGAGGAAGUGUAGAUUGGUAAUUUGACCUUAUACAGACCUACAGAUAAAUUCCGAACUCUUAGUGAAGCUAAGGUAUGUUUUAUGGAUUUAUUACAUAUACACGUGAAUCUAUUUCCAUUUCAUUUCCAUCCCAAACAGUAUUUAGUGUUAAUCGGUUGGUACAUAUGAAGUGGUUUCAUGUUUUUUGCUUAUUCAGGUGUUAUGAAAUUGACUUUAUUGCAAAUGAGCACAGAAUGGACCAAUGAAUGAUGAUGACAACGAUGAUGAUGAUGAUAAUAGAAGUUCUUAGAUUUUACAAUAUGGUUUCUAAUAGGAAUUUCAAUGUCAUUGGUUGGUUAGCUAGUGAGAUUUUGGUAGUGAGGAUUAUAGGUUACUUCGCUGAACUCUUAGGUUUUCUUCAAUAAUUUUUUUUUGCUAUUGAAUUGUCGAAACAUGAUUCUAAUGUGUGAGCAACAUCUAUUAUCGAUUUGAUGUUUGGUUCUUUUUCAGUAAAUUGUAGUUUAGUGUAUUAUCUUUUUUCAUCUGAGUAGUUUUUGGAGAAGUUUUUGAAGAAUAUAUAAAUGUUCUAUGAAUAAUUUAUGGCGUCUGUAGGGACAUGGAACUGCUAUGUUUUGAUGCUCUCAUGGGGAUGUAUUUUAUUGGUUUCAUUGUAGAAACAUCUUGAGCGUCUCUAUACCUUUUGUAUUUUAUACUUUU
rnacentral:lncRNA from 1 species